UUUAUUUUUUGAAAAAUAUUUAAUUUAUUAUAUUUAUUAUUUACAUGUUAGGUAAUAAGUGCAUAGCUUUGCCUAAAUUAUUUAAAUUUCUUUAACUAUUUAAUGUUGUAUAUGAUAUUAUCCUGAAAUGAGCGAAAAAAUUUUGUACAUCGUAUCGGAUUAUGUUCAAUGGCAUGAAACUAGUUUUGAAAAAAUCCUCAAAGAAAAAGCCCUCUAAGUGUUGUUUAUUACAUCAGUGCAUUAAAAUAUUUUCCCUAUUUUUCUUCAGAAAUAUAAUUUUUUCUAAUGAAUGAACAUGGAAGUUUUGUAUUGGAGGCAAUAGCCAAGUUUUGUCUGUUGUCCAACAUUUCAAACUGAAAAGUAUUGGUAAAAUGUACUUGGUGAUUUGUUAAAAAUUUCAGAGUUAUGUUUCCCGUCACUUUCAAUUGAAAUAUGUUACGAGGAAUAUGUCAAAAUGCUGUUGGAUAGUCAAAAUCAAAAAAUAAUACCAUUAGGUAAAGAUGUUUUAUUGGGUAAAUUACCAGAGCACUUAAGUUUAAAGAUUGUUAAAAACACAUUUGAUAUGUAUUUCGAUCGAGCCAAGUCUUUCAAUGAUGCAUCAAUGGCCUUAGCAAAUUUAUGUUUACAAAUUAUACCUAAUAUCAAAGAUUUACAAUUACAUGAAUGGAAUUUAAUUUCUGCUUUGACAAUAUUUAAUACUCUUGGUACCAAAUUACUUCCAGUCUAAAUGCGUCAAUGUAAAAAUAAAUGGAAGUUGAUAGACAUUACUAUAUCUUUUAAACCAAACAAUUAUACAUUAUUGAAAAAGUUAAUAACAUUAGCUAACAAAUUGGAUAUUAAAUGUCAUGAUAGCUUUACUUCUACCGAAUCCAAUAUUUUAUUCAAAUGUGCUAUGGUUGCAUAUCAAGCUAAUGGUUUGAAAUUUGCUUCUAAAAUAUGUGGUCAAUUGAUGGACAAAAAUGAACCAUUGGCAUGACCAUUAUGCAUUGAAUUAGGAGUACAUAAUGAAAUUAUUGAUAUUGGUUUAAAAAUAAAAGUUUUGUCAUUUGCUGUGCUUAAUUGUCCAGUUAAAAAAAUUGUUUCAAUUAUUGAACUGAGGAAAUUAUUGGAGAAUGAAAAUACUGAACAAAUAAAUAAUUGGAUGUGAUUCUCAAAUAGUGGUUCCAAUCAUGAUAUAAACAACAUGGUAUGAUCGCAAAAGUCCAGAUUUGGUCCAAGUCUGCGCAAUACAUCACUUGCUUACCCGUAUUAUCAUAUUGUCAUUAAAUUAUUAUUACUAUACACUACUCUACGUCAUGUGCUUACUGAAUGAUCUGACCGCCAAAAAGUUACGAUCAUCCCUUAUUUUGUUUUUAUAUGCUCAAUCUUCAGUAUCUGAUCUUGAAAUAGGAAAUUAUUUACGUAAAUAUGCAUUGUUAUAUGUCUAGUAAAUGUGUAAAAGGGUUAGAUUUGAAUGUAAGCUCAGAAGAAAUGAAUAAAGAACUUAUAAGGAUUGCUGGGUAAAAUUGUUUUUUUUAAUUAUAUAAAUUAAUAUCAAAAUUGUAAAGUAUUAUGUACUUUAUUUUGUAUAAUUUUGUACACCUUUCCCAUUCGAGAAAACGCGAUUUCCCCGUUAACAUUUAGAUUGUUAUACCACAAAAGUUUUAUGUAAGAACCCAUGUAUAAUAUUUUUAAAUUACAAAAAAAUAACUAAAAAUGAUAUUUUUCGUUUAGGUACAUAUCUAAUUUUGUUCAAAUUUGAAUAAAAUGUCUAUAAAAAAAACUGUAUGAAUAUAUUUUUAGAGAUUUGGGUUAUAAUAUCAACUACUAAUGAAAAUCUGUUUUAGUUUUUCAAUCUUUAGCUUAAAAAUUUUAUUUUAUAAAUUUUUAACUACAGUUAAAAACAUAACUUGCAAUUUUUCGUGAUUUUCUUUUCAUCAUUUAUAUUUGAAAAUAUUAGAUUAAUUUCUAACUGAAAAGUAAUUUAAAUUUUCAGAACUGAUGAAUUUCGUUAAAAUUCUAACUUCAGACAGCCGUAAAAAAUUAUUGUAGACUUACGCUCAUUUUUUUUUUUAGAUUGUGAGUGGAGCGAUUAAUGUAUUAAUUUUACAAUGUUUUUUUAUUUUUUUUUUAAUUUUUAAAUUUUCUAUUUCCGUGUAUGUCACCACUGUUUGGAUCAGUAAAACUGCUUCGAUUUUCUUCAACAGUAUCUUGUUUGAUAGGAAAGUGAAUCUAGUUGGUGCACAUGGGAGGUCAAUUUCUCAAUAGUUUUUAAAAGCGUCGGGAAAAACAACAUAAAAGUUAAGGAAAAACGGGAACUUUUAAACAAUAUAGUUUUUCAACCAAAUCUAUUUUGGUUUUUGGUGUAACUCUAAAACAAAUGAACGUAUAUACGUGACAUUUUACUGGUUGUUUAUAUUCGCAUUUUCUAUACACGAUAAUAUUUUCAAAAUAUUUUGAUUUGUUUUGAACUGUUUAGGAACAUUUUCAGUUUCCAAUUUUUUUAGUUUUUUUUUUCUAUGAAUGUCAAUAUAAUUUUAUUCGCUGGGCCAAAAAGCGUCAAAAUUUAAUACAAGGUAUAUGUACCUAUUGCUUAAAUAGCAAUUGAAAAAUAUAAAAAUACAUAGGCACAAUAUUUUGAUUUUUGAUAAAAUUUAUUAGAUUUGAAUAUUUAAAAAUAAUUUUGUAGUUAAAAAUUUAUAAAAUGUCCAAAUUUUAUAGCUAAGGAUUGAAAACUUACAACGCACCUACGUAAGCGGUUUAUUCUGUAACCAAAAAAUCUUAAAAAUAUAAAAACUAGUUAUUUUAUGUUCAAAUUUGGAGGAACUUAUAUAUUAAAUAACCAAGAAUAACAAUUUUAGUUAUUUUAUUGUAAUUUUAUAAUAUUAAUUAAACUUUCCGUCUACCGUAUUAAUGAUAAGUAAUAACAAUAUAAAUAAAAUUUAAAAUAUCCACACUGACAACACACUAACCACAAACCAAUAGAAUUAAUCAAUA